ensembl:snRNA U1 U1 spliceosomal RNA
AUUCUUACAUCAGAUGGGGGUACUAUAAUCAUGAUAGUGUUUUCCUUAUGGAAAGGCUUAUCUAUUUCACUUCAAAUAUGCUGACUCUUAAAUCUUCCCAAAAUGAGAAAAUUCAGCUUCCUAAUAUCUAGGACUAGGGUAAGGUAUUUGCACUUUACCCUG